rnacentral:lncRNA from 10 species
ACUUCUCAGCUAGCACAGUGACCACCUCUUCCAUGCUGUUUGAAGUUCUGGCUGUCUUGUGGGGUCCAUUGUUACCACAGUAGAAUCCAACCAAGGUGGGCAUUGCCCCCAACUCCUGGUGUGACUAGCAACCCCAUAUAAAUGGUUUUUCCCAUUUCUUCACUUUGAAACCUCAGUCAAUAGCUCAAGAUCCUUACUAUAUAGAAGGAAGAAGAAAGGGAACUUCCUUUUUUAAACAACAUUUACAUAACACUAACAUGGCUUUUAUUCCAGACCUUUUUGUUAGUGAUUUUCAAAUAUUAACUCAUAACAUUAAAAAAUCCCAGGCUAGGGACUUUUGAAUCCAUUAUUUACUCCUGUGUCUCUCAGAAUAUUUGGAAACUACUCAUACCAGAAUCACAUGAAUCUUGUGAACAGUGAAGCUGUCUACACCUUCUAAAUCAAUCCAUACAACAACUGGGAGAGGUAAGUGUAUUCACACCCAUUUUUCUUUACAGAUGAAGAAACUGAAACUCAGAAAAAUUUAUGUCCUACCGCAGGCCACAUAGCUAGUAAGUCCCAGAGCCCCGAUGGAAACGUGAGUCUGCCUGGCACUAGAGCUCAUGCUCCUUCAGCAACAACAUGGUACAGAAUGAAAUAAUGUGGGAGAGGCUGGGCACGGUGGCUCACUCCUAUAAUCCCAGCACUUUGGGAGGCCGAGGCAGGUAGAUCAUGUGAGGUCAGGAGUUCAGACCAGCCUGGCCAACAUGAUGAAACCCCCCACUCUACUAAAAAUACAAAAAUUACCCAGGCGUGAUGGCACAUGCCUAUAUUCCCAGCUACUCAGGAGGCUGAGGCAGGAGAAUCACUUGAACCUGGGAGGUGGAGGUUGUGGUGAGCCAAGACCGUGCCAUUACACUCCAGCCUGGGCAAUAAGAGCGAAACUCCAUCUCGAAAAAUAAAAUAAAAUGAAGAAACAAUGCGGGAGGAUGAACACAUGGAUGCUGCCUGCUACAACUUCAGCAGCAGAGUCUUGGACAUCCACCUUGCGCAAGACAUUCCUGAGUGGCACUGCUGUGUUUCUCACACAGCACCUUGGCCUCAGUAGACAACCAUGGGACAAGGAAGACUGGGGACUGCAUCAAGACCUGAGGUGAGACAGGAAUGGAGUGGACAGCAGCUACAGAAGGUGGGAGCCGUAUGAGUUCAGCUGUGGAUCAUCCAGGCAGAAGAACAGGAUGUCACGAUGCUCAAGAGUUAAGAAACUGGAGUGUCCCCAGAGAUGACAAGCAAUCUAUGAAGAGACCUAUUCAACAAAGUGGGUAGGGAUGCAGAGAACAACAGAGAAAUGAACAGAAAAUAACAGAGCCCCAUCACUGUGCCCAGUUUUCAGGACAGGCUGCGGUCCCUGGGGUGAGAGCAAAGUGACGGAGAAAAAGGCACGGCCGUCUCCAGAACUGAGACCUGGCCUUGGCCCCAGCAAUAGGGCAGAAGCCCAGAAAUCACAGCUGGAUGCAUGGUCGGGUUGGACCAGUGGCAAGGGGGCAGAGUCCUAGCACAUUGUCUGGAAGGAGGCAUUUCCCACUCUUCCGUGGACCACCAUGCUCGCUGGGGAGGGUGAGGGGUAGCUUGGGUGCGCUGGGCUAAGCAAAGCUCACCAGAUACUUUACUGAUGUUUUUGCCAAGGCAUUUGUAUACUCAGAUGAAUUUUGAUAUCUCCAAAAAGGGGCCAUAAGUCAUUUCCCAAACAUAUUUGAUCACAGUGUUACUGGCGGCGAAUCCUUAUGUGUCUGCAGCAACCUCAAUUCUUGCCUCCUCAGAAGGAAGAAUUCUACUAAGGGCCAUAAGGCCAAAGGAGAGAUUGAGGCAAGUUUUAGAGCAGGACUAGAAGUUUAUUUAAAAGCUUUAGAGCAGGAAUAAAAGGAAGUAAACUACAUUUGGAAGAGGGCCAAGCAGGCGACCUGAAAGGCAAGUGCACUCUUUGACCUUUGACUUGGGGUUUUAUACGUUGGCAUGCUUCUGGGGUCUUGGCGUCUGUCCCUUUUCCCCGGAUUCUUCCCUUGGGGUAGGCUGUCCGCAUGCACGGUGGCCGUCCAGCACUUGGGAGGGGCCCCAUGCACAGUGUGUUUACUGAAGUUGUACGCACGCUCCCUUGAGCUAUUCUUCCUUUACCACGUGAGUGUUCCUAUAAGGUCAUAUACCAAUUAAACUCUGCCAUUUCGCCUCUUAGUGCGCAUGCUUGAGCCUACUCACCCAACGCCUGAGAUCUUAUCUGGAAGCUGCUGAUCACCAGUUUCAGGUUUUUUCUAUCUACUGAGAGACUGCCUUUCCCUGGCACUGGCUGUGACCAAUUAUUAUUUUAGAAAGGCAGUUUAACAACCACCUGACCAUCACUAGAUGGUUGAUGGUUGCCUGACAUUCCUGGUGGGAAGUCGGGGGGGCCUCCCCUGCCCUGUUCAUGUCUGACUAGCUACCUACUGUAACAACAGCAUUCCUUUUUUGUUCUUUAACAGAUCGUCUAUGGUUAUCUUCCAGGAUAUCAAAAUAAUAUUUAAAAAGCAAUGAGGUUGUAAGCUUUGGGUCUGUUAAUAAAAUAGAUAAAUAGAUAAUAAGGUAGUGUUUUUUAAAUACACUCUUCACACUCAACAUUGAAAAUAUGUCCUUAAAAUGGAGCAAUGCCGGGCCAGCAGGUGGGGAUCCAGGAGUCCUAGCCACGCAGAGGGGACUGCAGGGCUGGAGACCAGGCAGGGCCAGACAGACACAAGGAGAAUAAUACAUAGAAAUGUGGUUCCUGGGCCAGGUGCAGUGGCUCAUGCCUGUAAUCCCAGCACUUUGGGAGGCCAACGCAAGCAGAUCACUUGGGGUCAGGAGUUUGAGACCAGCCUGGCCAACAUGGUGAAACCCCGUCUCUAUUAAAAAUACAAAAAAAACAUAUUAGCCAGGCAUGAUAAUGAGUGCCUGUAAUUCUAGCUUCUUGGGAGGCUGAGGCUGGAGAAUUGCUUGAACCUGGGAGGCAGAGGCUGCAGUGAGAUGAAAUCAUGCCAUUGCACUCCAACCUGGGCAACAGAGUGAGACUUCGUCUCCAAAAAAAAAAAAAAAGUAGUUUCUGCUGUCAGAUGUUUAGAUGUUUACACUCCAUAGCAC